rnacentral:rRNA from 1 species
AUACGGAGGGUGCGAGCGUUAAUCGGAAUUACUGGGCGUAAAGCGUACGUAGGCGGUUGGUUAAGUUAGAUGUGAAAGCCCCGGGCUUAACCUGGGAACUGCAUUUAAAACUGGCGAACUAGAGUUGAGUAGAGGGGAGUGGAAUUUCAGGUGUAGCGGUGAAAUGCGUAGAGAUCUGAAGGAACACCAGUGGCGAAGGCGACUCCCUGGACUCGAACUGACGCUGAGGUACGAAAGCGUGGGUAGCAAACGGAAUUAGAUACCCCAGUAGUCC